rnacentral:RNase_P_RNA from 1 species
GCGGUAAACUGAGCGGUCGCGGGUAUUAUGCGAAAGCAGAUACAUGAGGAAAGUCCGGGCUCCACAGGGCAAGGAUAACGGGUAACGCCCGCCAGGGGAAACCCUCGGACAAGUGCAACAGAGAUAUACCGCCGCUGAAAAGCGGUAAGGGUGGAAAAGUGAGGUAAGAGCUCACUCAUUGCGUGGAGACACGUGGAUGCUGUAAACUCUAUCCGGAGCAACACCGCGGAGGGACAUUCAGCCGGCCCGGCUGUCCCGGGGAGGUGGCUUGAGUCAGGCGGCAACGUCUGACCUAGACAGAUGACCGCUGUUCACAGAACCCGGCUUACAGGUUUGCCUGAAAG